rnacentral:lncRNA from 10 species
GGACAGAGGAGGACUUGGCCAGUGACUUUUGGUGAUAAAGCCUGAAAGGUAGAGAUCCAACAGCGCUAGCGGUUGAAACGGUUUUUAAAAUAGAGAAAGCGAGAGGACCGACGGCGGCUCCAGUGACUGCUGAGUUUCCAGACAAGGGAGCUUUGUGCAAUGAGGGGCGCACAGGAGCAUGCCCUCAAUUCCAAGGAGAUCGGGUAGCGGCAACAUUUAUUGAGCGCUUACUGUGUGCCACCGACUGCCCUAAAGCCCCCCACCCCCGUGGCCUCCGCGCGCUUUGAGCCCAAUGCGCGGGCCCUUGGCAAAGAGAAUCGGCCAGAGGCCAACGGGGGCGCAUGUCCUCCCCGGUAUUUGACUGACUCGGAGCCAGGGGCGCAGCCCACCCCGCCCGGCUCUGGGGAGCUC